UGACGCCUGCCCGGUGCCUGAAGGUUAAAAGGAGGGGUGCAAGCUCCGAAUUGAAGCCCAGGUAAACGGCGGCCGUAACAAUAACGGUCCUAAGGUAGCGAAAUUCCUUGUCGGGUAAGUUCCGACCUGCACGAAUGGUGCAACGAUCUGGACACUGUCUCGGCCAUGAGCUCGGUGAAAUUGUAGUAUCGGUGAAGAUGCCGGUUACCCGCUGUGGGACGAAAAGACCCCGUGAACCUUUACUAUAGCUUCACAGUGAACUUUGAGCAUGUUUGUGUAGGAUAGCUGGGAGGCUUUGAAGUGGGAACGCCAGUUCUCAUGGAGCCAACCUUGAAAUACCAGCCUGACAUGUUUGAGGUUCUAACUUGGUCCCCUUAUCGGGGAUGAGGACACUGUGUGGUGGGUAGUUUGACUGGGGCGGUCUCCUCCCAAAGCGUAACGGAGGAGCACAAAGGUGGGCUAAGCAUGGUCGGACAUCAUGCGGUUAGUGUAAUGGCACAAGCCCGCUUAACUGCGAGACAGACACGUCGAGCAGGUACGAAAGUAGGUCAUAGUGAUCCGGUGGUUCUGUAUGGAAGGGCCAUCGCUCAACGGAUAAAAGGUACUCCGGGGAUAACAGGCUGAUACCGCCCAAGAGUUCACAUCGACGGCGGUGUUUGGCACCUCGAUGUCGGCUCGUCACAUCCUGGGGCUGAAGCCGGUCCCAAGGGUAUGGCUGUUCGCCAUUUAAAGUGGUACGCGAGCUGGGUUUAGAACGUCGUGAGACAGUUCGGUCCCUAUCUGCCGUGGGUGCAGGAUACUUGAGAGGAGUUGCCCCUAGUACGAGAGGACCGGGGUGAACGAUCCACUGGUGGACCUGUUGUUGCGCCAGCAGCAGUGCAGGGUAGCUAUGAUCGGACAGGAUAACCGCUGAAGGCAUCUAAGCGGGAAGCCCCCCUCAAAACAAGGUAUCCCUGAGGACCGUGGAAGACCACCACGUCGAUAGGCCGGAGAUGUAAGCGCAGCAAUGCGUUCAGUUGACCGGUACUAAUGGCC
rnacentral:rRNA from 14 species